AACUUGCAGUGAUGAUUAUGACUUCAUGUCAUCUUCCUGAAAACGUGAUGGUACUAAGUCACUACCUCAUCUGAGCUUAUA